ACUAUAUACUUACCUCAGCUGAAAUCUGAAACAGUUUUCUGUGUGGGAGAUGACACUUUUAAUUGCUGCAAACAGAUGUACAUUGUUCAACCGGGCAUGCUUUGAAAAGUGUUGGCAAGAAGUGCCUCAGCCUAACAUGGACACAGCACUUCUCUUUAAGAUUUUUGUGAUGAGGGGGAAAAAAGAUGAGGGAGAACUUGAGAACAUUACAAAAGGAACAUGAUAUCUGGACACUCCCACAUCCAGUAAAGGUAUAUGAAUGAAGCAGUGCAGUAUCAUAAUAGCCUGGUUGUUUUGUGAACUGUGCAAUUGUUUCAAGUGAGGGCAUUUGUUACUACACUUCAAGGGUAAACAGCUGCAAUUG